CUCUGUGCAAGGCACUGAUAAGGAACACAAAAUGAACAUAAUCCCUGAUCUCCAGAAGCCUGCAGGCCAGUGGGGAACAAAACAAAUGAAACAGCAUGGAAGUAAAACAAUAAAGCUUCUAGCAAAACCAUACGGUAUAAAAUCCAGAAAUGGACCCACAACUAUAUGGUCGACUAAUCUCCGACAAAGCAGGAAUCUACAGAAUUAUCCUUAAUCUCCAGUAAUUCUUUGAACUGCAGUAAUGAAAAUUGGACACACUUGUUUUCAUCCUGGUCAAAGAUUUUGAGAAGUGGGAUUAACCAAAGAAGACUAUACAAACAUUCUUAAGAUUCUUGUGAUUUGGGUUGAGAAGUUGAGUACCAGUCUACUCUAUAAUUUAUAACAGAUUCUGAAAAAGGUCUUGAUGCAGAAGGAAUUUAUAAACUUGACUGACCACUGUACAAAAGGCCACUCUACAAUGAAAACAGAAAAAAAAAAAAAAAAAGGUUGAAUUUGAUGAAGUAUACUCAUGACCAAAAAGCCACAUUUCCUGGGGCUCUUGAGUGGCUCACUCAGUUAAGGAUCCAACUCUUGAUCUGGGCUCAGGUCAUGAUCUCAAGCCUGCUACCAGCUCCAUGCUGGUCAUGGAG